rnacentral:lncRNA from 1 species
UUUGGGAUACUUUAUUCUUUAUCUAGUUAAAGCUCUGUUGGGUUAUAAUGGGCACCAAGUAACUUUCAAAAUUUUAUAGCUAAGUUGAAAACUAAUCAUUCUUAUAUUUUAAUCUCAUUCUUUCGGGUUGAUUUAUGUUGUAGACUUAUGAAACUAGUGUAUCUUGAUUGGUUGUCAUUCCUUUCUUCAUUCAAUCAACCUA